GUGGGGAAUUUUGGACAAUGGGCGCAAGCCUGAUCCAGCCAUUCCGCGUGCAGGAUGAAGGCCUUCGGGUUGUAAACUGCUUUUGUACGGAACGAAAAGCCUCUGGUUAAUACCCGGGGGUCAUGACGGUACCGUAAGAAUAAGCACCGGCUAACUACGUGCCAGCAGCCGCGGUAAUACGUAGGGUGCGAGCGUUAAUCGGAAUUACUGGGCGUAAAGCGUGCGCAGGCGGUGAUGUAAGACAGUUGUGAAAUCCCCGGGCUCAACCUGGGAACUGCAUCUGUGACUGCAUUGCUGGAGUGCGGCAGAGGGGGAUGGAAUUCCGCGUGUAGCAGUGAAAUGCGUAGAUAUGCGGAGGAACACCGAUGGCGAAGGCAAUCCCCUGGGCCUGCACUGACGCUCAUGCACGAAAGCGUGGGGAGCAAACAGGAUUAGAAACCCCUGUAGUCC
rnacentral:rRNA from 1 species